CCGGGCAGUCCAGGUCGGGC
rnacentral:siRNA from 1 species